rnacentral:rRNA from 1 species
UACGUAGGCAGCAAGCGUUGUUCGGAGUUACUGGGCGUAAAGGGUGUGUAGGCGGUUUUCUAAGUCUGGUGUGAAAUCUCCCGGCUCAACUGGGAGGGUGCGCCGAAAACUGGAAGGCUAGAGUGCGGGAUGGGAGAGUGGAAUUCCUGGUGUAGCGGUGAAAUGCGUAGAUAUCGAGAGGAACACCUGCGGCGAAGGCGGGUAGCUGGGCCGACACUGACGCUGAGGCGCGAAAGCCAGGGAGCGAACAGG